AGAGUUUGAUCCUGGCUCAGGACGAACGCUGGCGGCGUGCUUAACACAUGCAAGUCGAACGGAAAGGCCCUGCUUUUGUGGGGUGCUCGAGUGGCGAACGGGUGAGUAACACGUGAGUAACCUGCCCUUGACUUUGGGAUAACUUCAGGAAACUGGGGCUAAUACCGGAUAGGAGCUCCUGCUGCAUGGUGGGGGUUGGAAAGUUUCGGCGGUUGGGGAUGGACUCACGGCUUAUCAGCUUGUUGGUGGGGUAGUGGCUUACCAAGGCUUUGACGGGUAGCCGGCCUGAGAGGGUGACCGGCCACAUUGGGACUGAGAUACGGCCCAGACUCCUACGGGAGGCAGCAGUGGGGAAUAUUGCACAAUGGGCGGAAGCCUGAUGCAGCAACGCCGCGUGCGGGAUGACGGCCUUCGGGUUGUAAACCGCUUUCGCCUGUGACGAAGCGUGAGUGACGGUAAUGGGUAAAGAAGCACCGGCUAACUACGUGCCAGCAGCCGCGGUAAUAC
rnacentral:rRNA from 1 species